AGAUUGAACGCUGGCGGCGUGCCUAACACAUGCAAGUCGAGCGGUAACAGGUGUAGCAAUACAUGCUGACGAGCGGCGAACGGGUGAGUAAUGCUUUGGAAUCUUCCCAGUAGUGGGGAAUAACCAGUCGAAAGAUUGGCUAAUACCGCAUACGUCUGUAAAGGGAAAGCGGGGGCUCGUAAGACCUCGCGCUAUUGGAUGAGCCAAAGUCGGAUUAGCUAGUUGGUGGGGUAAUGGCCUACCAAGGCGACAAUCCGUAGCUGGUCUGAGAGGACGACCAGCCACACCGGAACUGAGACACGGUCCGGACUCCUACGGGAGGCAGCAGUGGGGAAUAUUGGACAAUGGGGGAAACCCUGAUCCAGCGACGCCGCGUGUGUGAAGAAGGCCUGCGGGUUGUAAAGCACUUUAGUGGGGACAAAAGCUACGGAUUAAUACUCUGUGGUCUUGAUUUAACCCAAAGAAAAGCACCGGCUAACUCUGUGCCAGCAGCCGC
rnacentral:rRNA from 1 species